rfam:Nicotiana sylvestris Nsyl_contig388887, whole genome shotgun sequence.
AAAUAAGCCCUUUUCAGGGCUACAAUGUCAAUAUAAAGAGAGAUA